rnacentral:rRNA from 1 species
UGGGGAAUAUUGAACAAUGGGCGGAAGCCUGAUCCAGCAACGCCGCGUGAGGGAUGACGGCCUUCGGGUUGUAAACCUCUUUCAGCACAGACGAAGCGCAAGUGACGGUAUGUGCAGAAGAAGGACCGGCCAACUACGUGCCAGCAGCCGCGGUAAUACGUAGGGUCCGAGCGUUGUCCGGAAUUAUUGGGCGUAAAGGGCUCGUAGGCGGUUUGUCGCGUCGGGAGUGAAAACACCGGGCUUAACUCGGUGCUUGCUUUCGAUACGGGCAGACUAGAGGUAUUCAGGGGAGAACGGAAUUCCUGGUGUAGCGGUGAAAUGCGCAGAUAUCAGGAGGAACACCGGUGGCGAAGGCGGUUCUCUGGGAAUAUCCUGACGCUGAGGAGCGAAAAGUGUGGGGAACGAACAGGAUUAGAUACCCUGGUAGUCCACACCGUAAAACGUUGGGCGCUAGGUGUGGGGGUCCAUUCCACGGAUUCCGUGCCGCAGCUAACGCAUUAAGCGCCCCGCCUGGGGAGUACGGCCGCAAGGCUAAAACUUAAAUGAA